rnacentral:rRNA from 1 species
GCCAGCAGCCAUAUCACCCUGCAACUCCCAAGUGGCAGCCCACAGCAGGUGUGAGCCUGGUCAGUACCUGGAUGGGAGACCUCCUGGGAAAAACUAAGGUUGCUGCUGGAA